rnacentral:misc_RNA from 1 species
GAUGAAGAACGCAGCGAAAUGCGAUAAGUAAUGUGAAUUGCAGAAUUCAGUGAAUCAUCGAGUCUUUGAACGCACAUUGCGCCCCCUGGUAUUCCGGGGGGCAUGCCUGUCCGAGCGUCAUUGCCGCCCUCAAGCACGGCUUGUGUGUUGGGCCCCCGCCCCCCGGCUUCGGGGGGCGGGCCCGAAAGGCAGCGGCGGCACCGCGUCCGGUCCUCGAGCGUAUGGGGCUUCGUCACCCGCUCUGUAGGCCCGGCCGGCGCCCGCCGGCGACCCCAAUCAAUCUUUCCAGGUUGACCUCGGAUCAGGUAGGGCUACCCGCUGAACUUAAGCAUAUCAAUAAGCGGAGGA